AGAGCGAACGCUGGCGGCGUGCCUAACACAUGCAAGUCGAACGAGAAAGUGGAGCAAUCCAUGAGUAAAGUGGCGACCGGGUGAGUAACACGUGACUAACCUACCUUCGAGUGGGGGAUAACCUCGGGAAACCGGGGCUAAUACCGCAUAAAAUCUUUGGAUCGGAAGAACUGGAGAUCAAUGGAGCAAUUCGCUUGAAGAGGGGGUCGCGGCUGAUUAGCUAGUUGGCGGGUAAUGGCCCACCAAGGCUUUGAUCGGUAGCCGGCCUGAGAGGGCGCACGGCCACACUGGAACUGAAACACGGUCCAGACUCCUACGGGAGGCAGCAGUGGGGAAUUUUGCGCAAUGGGGGAAACCCUGACGCAGCAACGCCGCGUGGAGGAUGAAGUCCCUUGGGACGUAAACUCCUUUCGACCGGGACGAUUAUGACGGUACCGGUGGAAGAAGCCCGGCUAACUUCGUGCCAGCAGCCGC
rnacentral:rRNA from 1 species